CCCCCCCCCCCCCUCCAGAAAGUAAAUAUUGAACAAACAGUUUGUAAAUCAACAAAUUAGUUGUAAAACAAGAUGUCAAUCUACAGGGAAGCACAACAUUUAAAACAUGAAAUAUAAGAUGACGCAAAUAAAAGUUCAUUAAAAGUAUAAUUACUAUUUUUUCUGUUGCUUGAAAUGUAUUUGAAAAUUAUGAAAAUAGAUGUAAGAUAUAUACAUUCAACCAAUUGGCAUUGCAGAAGGAGAAAUUGGCAUCUUGAUGGAGACAGUUUGCUGCCGAAUGCGGCAGACUGUACAUGAUGAUCUACCACAGUAUAAUUGUAGUACUGCACAAUGGAUUUAAACAUGAUAUUCCAACAUCAACAGUCAUGGGGAUCCAAGUCAAACCUUCCAUUAAUCUCUAGGACAAGAACAAAAUUGUAUAGAAAUCUUAAAAAAAACUGAAAACUUUAAAAAUAAAACUUCUUCACAAUCAUAUUUUGAAUUUCUGGUAUUUCAAUAUCACAAAAGAAUUAAGAAUCACCCGAAAUACAUUUUAAAAAAUGUUUUUUUUCAAAACUUCAAUUAAAAAAAGAUUUUUAUGUAAUAAAAUUGCAUCACAGGUGAAUGUCUUUGAAACAAGAGUAAGAAAAGUAAAAAAAAAAAAGUAAUGCCAUUAAAUUGUAACAUCUGGGGAAGGGGGGUGGGGGGAAUUCAGUUCCAGUAUGUUUGUCAUUAA